rnacentral:rRNA from 1 species
GGCCAGCAGCCGCGGUAAUACGAAGGUGGCAAGCGUUACUCGGAAUUACUAGGCGUAAAGGGCAGGUAGGUGGUUUGAUAAGUCUGUUGUGAAAGCUCCUGGCUUAACUGGGAGAGGUCAACAGAAACUAUCAGGCUUGAGUAUGGGAGAGGGUACUGGAAUUCCCGGUGUAGCGGUGAAAUGCGCAGAGAUCGGGAGGAACACCUAUGGCGAAAGCAGGUACCUGGACCAUUACUGACACUCAGCUGCGAAAGCUAGGGGAGCAAACAGGAUUAGAUACCCUGGUAGUCCUAGCCGUAAACGAUGCACAUUAGACGUGAGGGGUAUCGACCCCCUUCGUGUCGACGCAAACGCAUUAAAUGUGCCGCCUGGGGAGUACGGCCGCAAGGUUGAAACUUAAAGGAAUUGGCGGGGGA